rnacentral:rRNA from 1 species
GGGGAAUUUUCUGCAAUGGGCGAAAGCCUGACAGAGCAAUACCGCGUGAGGGAUGAAGACUUACUGAGUUGUAAACCUCGGUACCUUAAGGAAGAAGAUCUGACGGUACUUAAGGUGGAAAGCAUCGGCUAACUCCGUGCCAGCAGCCGCGGUAAGACGGGGGAUGCAAGUGUUAUCCGGAUUUACUGGGCGUAAAGCGUCUGCAGGUGGUUUCUUAAGUCUACUGUUAAAUCUUGAGGCUCAACCUCAAAUCUGCAGUAGAAACUAGGAGACUUGAGUAUAGUAGGGGUAGAGGGAAUUUCCAGUGGAGCGGUGAAAUGCGUAGAUAUUGGAAAGAACACCGAUGGCGAAGGCACUCUACUGGGCUAUUACUGACACUCAGAGACGAAAGCUAGGGGAGCWAAUGGGAUUAGAUACCCCAGUAGUC